rnacentral:lncRNA from 1 species
UAUUGUCUUCCUGAAUAUGAGAUGAAGCUCUUGUUUGGAGACAUUUAGACAGCAGCCAAGAUUUUGUAGAGCAAGUCUAGUUAGACUAAAGAAUCACUGGAAAACCCUAUUUGAUCUGAUACACACAUGUCUAGGAAAAUACUAUCACCCAUGCUGCAAGUCGACUGCAAAAUGCUAUUACACACUGCAGGUUCAUGGACAAGGUUAUAGAUUGAAUUCAACUUGGAUCAGAUAAGACUGUACACAAUGAAAUGUUGUGACUGGAGCCACAGCAACUCUUGUUGCUUUCAGCAGAAUCGGUGCAUCAGAGAGACACAGUUUCUGGCAGGAAAUAAUACAACUUCUGUUUCCUCACAGUUUCCGCAGAACAGAAAAUUGCAUCUUCUGCAGUAGCUUGCAAGAGUAUCUAAUGUUCCAAGGUAAAAAGAUGUACUUCAGUUCUUGACAUCCCAAGAACAAGUUCAAAUCCAUCAUCUUCUCAGCUUUGAAGAGGCCCACUGGAUCCAGAGAUGGAGCUGGGGACAUCCCAGAUUAAUCGAGAGCUUCUGAGUUGACAAUCCCUCACUCAUGUCUUCCCAUCGAUUGAUUACACUCCCAAAGAGGAUGCCUUUCCAAAAACUAGAAGAUGAUAGUUCAGUACUGCUAACACAUGAUGCUCUGCUGUGGAUGCCUCCUUGGUGGGAAACAUGAAAUGUGUGGUAUAAGCAUUUAAGAAAGAAAGGAUCUUGCAGAGAAAAGACUUCUUCGACACCGGAAUUCUCUCUUCAUGACGAAGAAAACAAAAUCUCAAUAUGUUUCAAGAUCAAUUUAUCCGAAAAGUGAAAUAAUUUGUACCUCAUAAAAGAAAGUUGAGUCAGGAGAUGUUCAAUCUAUAUGGGGAACUGACAUGAAACCAACACAGUCACUCCAUGGGCCGGCUAUGGCAAUUUGGGUGAGGCUUGCGAGAAGUCACUGUGACAUAGCUGUGGACAAAGAACAAGUUCUUCCUGUCUGUACGUAAUUAGCUUCACUGAGUUCUCUUGGUGAUGAUAUUAACGAAGAGAGAGAAGAGUGUAGUCAUGAUCUAAUAUGAUAAGUCUACAACAAACAAAUGAGCUUCUUCUUUAUCUUACGUAACCUCAACAGUCUGGUCAAAUCUCUUGAGAACUCACCAAGAGAUUGAUCCUUCCUUCACAAGCACUC